AUACUUACCUGGCAAGGGAGACACCGUGAUCACCAAGGCGGUUCACCCAGGGCGAGGCUCGGCCAUUGCACUGCGGCUGUGCUGACCCCUGCGAAUUUCCCAAAUGUGGAAAUCUCGAUUGCAUAAUUUCUGGUAGUGGGGGACUGCGUUCGCGCUCUCCCCUG
ensembl:snRNA U1 U1 spliceosomal RNA